rnacentral:rRNA from 1 species
UACAGAGGUCCCAAGCGUUUGUUCGGAUUUAUUGGGCGUAAAGGGUGCGUAGGCGGCGGAGUAAGUUGGGUGUGAAAUCCCGGGGCUCAACCUCGGAAUUGCAUUCAAUACUGCUUCGCUAGAGUACUGGAGAGGAGGCUGGAAUUUACGGUGUAGCGGUGAAAUGCGUAGAUAUCGAGAGGAACGACCUGCGGCGAAGGCGGGUUGCUGGGCGUGAUACUGACGCUGAGGCGCGAAAGCCAGGGAGGCGAAACGGG